rnacentral:rRNA from 1 species
AUUGAACGCUGGCGGCAGGCCUAACACAUGCAAGUCGAGCGGAUGAAGGGAGCUUGCUCCUGGAUUCAGCGGCGGACGGGUGAGUAAUGCCUAGGAAUCUGCCUGGUAGUGGGGGAUAACGUCCGGAAACGGGCGCUAAUACCGCAUACGUCCUGAGGGAGAAAGUGGGGGAUCUUCGGACCUCACGCUAUCAGAUGAGCCUAAGUCGGAUUAGCUAGUUGGUGGGGUAAAGGCCUACCAAGGCGACGAUCCGUAACUGGUCUGAGAGGAUGAUCAGUCACACUGGAACUGAGACACGGUCCAGACUCCUACGGGAGGCAGCAGUGGGGAAUAUUGGACAAUGGGCGAAAGCCUGAUCCAGCCAUGCCGCGUGUGUGAAGAAGGUCUUCGGAUUGUAAAGCACUUUAAGUUGGGAGGAAGGGCAGUAAGUUAAUACCUUGCUGUUUUGACGUUACCAACAGAAUAAGCACCGGCUAACUUCGU